GACGGAGGAUGCAAGUGUUAUCCGGAAUCACUGGGCGUAAAGCGUCUGUAGGUGGUUCGAAAAGUCCACUGUUAAAAAUUGAAGCUUAACUUCAAAGAUGCCGUGGAAACUUUCAAACUAGAGUGUGGUAGGGGUAGAGGGAAUUUCCAGUGGAGCGGUGAAAUGCGUAGAUAUUGGAAAGAUCACCGAUGGCGAAGGCACUCUACUGGGCCAUUACUGACACUGAGAGACGAAAGCUAGGGGAGCAAAUGGG
rnacentral:rRNA from 1 species